CUAUUAAUAACCCCAAAUACACUAAAUAUUAAAAACAAACCAUUUUUCCCUCCAAGUAUAGGUGACAGAAAAGAAACAUUUUUAAAAGCUAUAGAAAAAGUACCGCAAGGGAACGCUGAAAAAGAAAUGAAACAAAUAAUAAAGUUAAAAAAAGCAGAGAUUUAUCCUCGUACCUUUUGCAUCAUGACUUAGCAAGUAAGAACCAAGCAAAGUGCAUUUUAGUUUGACCCCCCGAAACUAAGUGAGCUACUCCAAGACAGCCUAAAACUAGGGCUAACCCGUCUCUGUGGCAAAAGAGUGGGAUGAGCUUAGAGUAGAGGUGAUAGACCUACCGAACUUAGUUAUAGCUGGUUGCUUGAGAAUUGAAUAGGAGUUCAGCUUUCUGAUUUCUCUUUCCAAAAUGCUUUAAUAAUUACACCUGAAUUAAGAAAUCAAAAAAGUUAAUUAAAGAGGGUACAGCCCCUUUAAACAAGAUACAACUUCACCAGAUGGGUAAAGAUCAAAUUUACUAAGGAAAAAUGUUUUAGUGGGCCUGAAAGCAGCCACCUGUAAGAAAGCGUUAAAGCUCCUUCAUGUUUUAUCCAUUAAUCCCGACAACCUUUCUUAAACCCGCUAAUUUUAUCAAGCCUUUCCAUGCUAACAUGGAUGAGAUUAUGCUAAUAUGAGUAACAAGAAAAACUAGAUUUUCUCCAUGCACAAGUGUAACUCGAAACGGACCCCCCAUCGAACCUUAUUUUUUCGGCCCCAAAAAAAGAGGGUAAUGAACCAUAAUAUUAUUAACAAGAAAAACACCCAAAAUAUAACCGUUAAUCCCACACUGGUGUUCUCACAAGGAAAGACUAAAAGAAAAAGAAGGAACUCGGCAAAUACUAGCCUCGCCUGUUUACCAAAAACAUCGCCUCCUGCAAUUAAAACAUAGGAGGUCC
rnacentral:rRNA from 1 species